GGGGCUGACUAGCUUCGACAGAGUGACCUUGAAAGAUAUACUGGCAAGCCGGGUUGGGAUGAACGUUAUCCGUCCUACUCAACAAGUGAGAACUCUCUUGUUAGCCGCGUACGCUCAGUUUAUGCUGAUGCGUUCGCAGCACCAGCUUUUGCUUAAUUCGUAAAAGCCGCUGACUACUCGACACCAACUAGAGUCUGAAGCGCCAUAUUUUGUUGGUUGCGUGAGAUGUGCGCCGACGUACGCAAUUCACUAAGCUUAUAUGCGCCGGGAAAGGGACGUGCUUUGGCUCGUUUUGAAUCGUUCUUUUCUAAAAAAUCCCGUAAGCGAGCUACGCUUGUAGAAGGUAUAUUGAUCACAUUCUGGACGAGGGUGCGAUUCCCUCCAGCUCCACCA
rnacentral:tmRNA from 1 species